rnacentral:lncRNA from 1 species
CUGGACAUAUCAAAGGCCCUUUUGAGAGUGGACAUGAGAUGGGGAGGGAGGCCAUUGGUGGUAUGGUAGUGAGGUGGGAGUUCAGGCAAGUCAUCAUGUGGAAGAUGGAGUUCCACAAAUUCAAUGCAAUGAGAAUAUUUUUGGGAGAGUUUAGGCUUGAUGGAGCUGAGAUUUACAGGCGUGGAACAAAUAAAGAUGUGAAAAUUUCUCUUGGUGGUCAGCUUCUUGGCUAGCUCUAGGUAGGGAGAUAUAUGGCCGUGAGCUAGCCAUGGAAGCAUAAGAAUAGUAAGUUUUCUUUGGUCAGAGUAAACCAUAUUUUGUUUUCCUUUCACUCUUUUGCUUGAGGUUGCUCGAUUAUAGGCUUAUUGGUAGUUUUUUUGUAGCUAGCUCUAUGCAUAUAUAUAUAUAUAUACACACACAUUCAUGGGAAAAGAGGCUUGGGGAUGGGAAAUCAAUUGAUUUCCUAUGUUUGGUAAAGUUCGGGUAUGAGAAAUCGUUGCUUUGCACAUGAGAAAGUAGAGGGGAAAGUGAAGCCCUCCUCCUUCCUUAGGUUUUGUUUUCCUCCUCAUGGGAAAGUUUGGGAAAAUGAGCUAAUAUUAAAUACAUAUUUUUCAUGACCAUAUUAUCCCCAUUAAUAAUUUAGAAUUACAUAAAUGCAUUCUAUUUUUAUUUGAUUUCAUAUGGGUAUAAUUGAAAAAUUAAACAAAUUUUGUUUUACAUUCCUACACAAACCAAACAUGUGAAAGGAAAUAAAGUGGUAUUUCUUGGUUACUUUCCCAAGAUUACCAAACAUAGGAAAGGAAUCUCUAUUUCCCAUCCCUUAGAAAAUGACUUGGAAAGUAAUUUCUCCUCAAAUUCGUUCCGUGAACCAAACGGAACCUGCAUAAUAGAAGUUCCAAAAAAACACGUGAUGAUUGGAUCAUGCAUAUGUAAGUUCCCGAGUGAUGAUUGGAACAAGUUCCUAAUGAUAAAGACUCGAAACAAGAAUAGUUUAAACUUUCUUCUUUGUUUGGCUUGAUAUAAGACGAAUGCACCAAACAAACCGACUAAUUGCUGGCACAAUAUAAAUUGGGGCUACAAUUACCUAAUAAUUAGGUACUAAGGGCUACAAUUACCUAAUAAUAUCAACUUUCAUUAUACAGAUUUGAGAAACAAAAAGUUCAACUUUGAUGACAAGCGAUAUUAAAGGAGGGCGUAAUCAAACUUAGGAUCUUGAGUGUAGAAAUAAAUACUUUUAACAACUUGAGCUACAAGCCUUUUGUAAUAUUAAUGAUAUUUUAAUUAUACGUUUGAAUAGUUCGCUUCCUUCUCUUUUAUUUUCAUUUGUUUAUAUUUAACUCUAAUUUUAUUUAUAUUUUUGGUCAAGGUAAAAAGACUUUGAAUCUCUCUCCAAUGAUUUUCACAGCCGAAACUCCUUUAGUUUCCACAAAUAUUUUUUAAUAUUUCAUGCAUUUGUAAGUUUCCGACUCGGAUGGUUCAUGUAACCAAGAAGUUUAAACUUGUUUUUGCUUGUUCCGCCGACGAAAGCGCAACAAAAGGACAAACUACAACCAAUACUUCUAGUAUCACCAGUUCUCAUUGAAUUUGUUGCCGUGAAUGUUUAGGAUUCUGCCCAAACUAGUAUUUGCGUUUCUGAAUUGUUUGAAAACACAUAUGAAAUUAUGAUUUCUCCUCCCCAGAAGACAAAUUGACGAAGAAGUAUCAUGAUUUUGAUGACACAAAUUAGAAUCCAGGGUUUUCGAAGUGCCUAAUGGACAACUAUUAAUUUAGAAAUAUAUAUAUUUUUUUCGCAAUGCAGAAACACAUAAAUCCCAAGUUUGAAUUCAUCCUAUUUUUGUUUUUGUUUUUUCCUUUUUUAACCCAGAAGAAAAAUUGAGUGCCACUCUGCUAUGUAGAAUGCAAGUUUUAGUUUAGAUUUUUUUUUCUUUUUAGUCUCUUAUUCUACAUUUAGAUCUCAUAUAUUUACUCGCAUUUUAUUAAAUCUAAGUCAUUCAAACAAUCUGACCACUUAACAAAUUACAAGUACUCAAACUUAAAAUCAGAUUGGAUGGACAUGAGGCUUACACUGAUGAUUCUACACGUGCUGAGAAUAGUCCUUUUAUUUCUUUAUUAUUUUCUUGGUCGGGACUCGAGAGACAGGUGUAGUGUAGCGAUGGAGACGAGGCCCGCAAGACAUAAAAGUCUGAAGAAGAGAAGCGUGAAAGCUUCAUUUAGACAGUUAAGUGCAUACGUAACGUAAAGAUUCAAAGACUAUGUCCCUCUCCAAACAGGGAAAGAUCUGAGUUGAAAGCAACAAACUACAGUCACAAUAGGAAAGCAUCUACAACGUAAAGAAAAUAAGUUUACCAGAAGCAUCGGAAAGAUCUAGAGUCUGAAGAAGAGAUACUGAAGUAAUUGUUCAUCGACUGAGCUUAAAUGAAAUAUUAACUCUUUGUUGUGCCAUAAGCACAAGAUCUUAAGAAAAAAAUUCAAGAUAAACCAUAUAAUAUUUUCUAACCCACAAAAUAAUAUAGAAAAUAAAUGCAAGAACAAGAGAAUAGCAAGACACAACGAGGCUGCUUACAAUCAGUGUAAAUGAGCAAACAAAUUCACCAUCAACAAAUUAGCAUGCUUAUGAAGUGUUUUGCAACCUCACAAACCAAGGCGCCAUAUACACCAAAUGACUCUCACUGAAAAACUAAACAAAGAAACACACUCACACUAAUGAAAGCAACGUUACAAGGUAGGAGAUUGAAUAUUACAUUUACAAUACACUCAUAAGUUACAAAAACUAAUUACAAAUAUUUAGCGCAUAGGUUACAUAGAACUGAAAGGGUGGAAUGAUAAGAGCUAUGGUGGUCAUCCACCAACUCAUGCAUUUACAACACCGCCUCUUGAAUGUCCACCAUACAAUACAAUGAUAUAGUUGCGUCAUUAAACACUUUGCUUGAAAAACUAUAUGGGACAAAACUUAGGCUACGGGAAAAAGAGUGCAACACAAAUAAUAUUGAUAUCACAUUUGUCUCUCCUACGGAAUGAGCUUUGGUGAUGUUUGUAUAAAAAUUGCGUACAAACCAUUAUUGGAAGAUUGGGCUAGAGUGGGCUUUACCCUAGUGUUGACUUUGGAAAGAGACAAAUUAGGCUUAGUUGUGUAAAUUCAAUCCAAAAAAAAAUUAAAUAAUAGCCCACAUCUACAGCCAAAUACUUUAAUACUUUAAUUACUAAAGUUUUUUUUUCUUUCUCUCUCUUCUUUGGUUUAUUCAGCUUUUGAUUUGGCUCAAAUAAUGUUUAUAUCUCUCUUUGAUUUUGUUUUUUCAAAUUUAUUGAUGUUGCUUCUUUUGAAAAUUUUGAAAUAUGGACCCUCCCUAACUAAACCACUCCAUUGAGCAAAAGCCCUUGAGCUUCAAAUUUAUCUUCGUCUGAGCCUCUGAAUUUUGGUUUUUUUUAGGUUUUUUUUGUUUGUUGUAGGUUUCUUUGUUCACAUAUCUCUCUAAAAAUAGUAUUUUUCUUAAUGAAUUCUGAAAAUAGUUUUUAAUUUGAAGGAAAUAUACGGAAUUAGUAAAAAAGUAUACCACUUUCAUUAAUCUGAAGGAAAUAUUGCUUUAUAUAUAUUUGUUUAAAAAUAGGGCUUAUAAUUGAUCUCAAAAAAAAAAAAAAAACAAAUAGCCCACCCCUGUAAAUAUUCCUUAGUCCGCCAUUGCAUGGCAUAAUAUUUGGUAUGCUAUGCUAGCAUCUCAUAAGCUCUUCAAGAGACCUGAAUUUUAUGAUAACUUCUUAAAAAAUUUGAAUACAUUUCAACGAUAUUAAACUUGAAUUUGAACUCAUAAUUCAAUCAAAGUACUCAUUGAGGCAAUUUAGAUCAUUUUCAUUUUAAAAAAAUUGGGUGCACACAUUGAGCUUCAUGCUCUUUACCUUCUUAGAGAUUUUAUUUGAGGAAUUUAUAUUGCAUCACAUAUUACAUCUCUUAGGAUUUGUUCUUAUUAUGUAUUCUUUAAGAGAUCUAUUCUUGCAAUAUGCUUCAAACACUUCAUAAUCUUUAUGAAUUUUUCAUGUAGAUUUAAGGUCUCCAUGAAUAUUGAGAUUGAAACAAGGAGUAAAAGAGUUAAAAGUUUAAGAAAUUUUUUCCCUGAUUAUUUUGUAAUUAUAAUGUUGGUGAAAAUCCAAUUUCCUUUCUAGAAUUUGUGAAAUUUGUUAUUUGGCUAAGCUAAAAGUAUAAUUUUGACAAUAAAAAGCAUAUGAAAGUUUCUCUUUGGUUGGCUUCUUGGCUAGCUCUAGGAACGGACAGUGUGGCCAUGAGAUAACCAUGGAAGUAUAAUAAGAAUGCUUGGAUGCUGUGAACAAUCCAUUUUCUGACUCUUUUUCUUGAGGUGGUUGUUUUCUUAUGGCCCAUCAGAGUUUAUGGUCGACAGAUAAGCUUCAAACACAUGCAUUGGUCGUGUCAGUUGCGAUAAACUCUUCCCAACAAUCAACAAUUUCUAAGGUAAUAUCAUCAUUCAAUCAUGUGCUGAAUUUAGAAUUGUUUUCAAAUCAAGGAUUUGUUUUGGAACUCAGAUUUUAAAACAAUUAAAAUUUAAUUGGGAAGACUUUUUGUUUAAAGGAAGUUCGUUUCAAUUCAAAAAAUAAUUUUUCAGUUUUUCAACUCAAAAGUCUUCUCAGUUUUCUUAUUUUUCUUAUUGGCGAGUUUCUUGGUUAACUCUAGGAAGGGAGAUAUGUGGCCAUGAGCUAACCAUGGAAGCAUAAGAACGCUGACCAUGCUUGGAUUUUGAGAAGACUUCCUCUUUUUUUUUUCCCUGACUCUUCUUCUUGAGGCGGUGGUUGGCUUAUGGCCUCAUAAUAGUUUGGUGUUUUUGGAGAUCAUAUGGUGAUGAUCUGAUGGAGAUGAGUCAUAGUUUGUGCUAGUGCAUACGUAAUUCCAAUUUCCUGAUUCAGAUGGGAUAAACUCUUCCAACAAAUUAAGACUCUUAUCAUGCAUACACAUAAGAAGUGGAAAUUUGCUUCUGUCUUAGUUUGGCCUUGAUAUAGGACAGCUCAUAGGAAAGCAUCCAAAACAAUAUUCUUUUUAUUUUUUUUAUUUGAAUACAAGCGAUAUUAGGAGUGUGGGGAUUUGAACACAUGAUUUAGGGUACAGGGUAAUGCUCUUAACUAUAUGAGUUACAAGUCCCUUGCAAACAGUCUGAAAUACUAAAAAUAAAAAAUAGAUGCUCAUCCAUAUGCACUGUCAUGCCCCAACCCUUGGAUUUACAAAACCUUGUGUUAAGACGUGAUUCACACCUUAAUUAUAGAAUUUAAUAAAAACUAUAACUAAAAUGUGAAGAAAACAUUUAAAUAAAUAAAAUAAAUAUUUCACAUAGAAUAUUCAGUGGAAAUGACAACAUGUGAAAUCUUAAAAAUUUUACAUUAUCUUACAAGUUGGCGUGACUUGUGGAUAUUGACUUACUUUCCUUACACACCAAGAAUUCCUAUUAUAAUUGUAAUUGAUUUACUUUAAUUCAUGAUUUCCUACUGUAAAUAGAUUUAAGAAUUUAUUAUUUACUUGCCCAUUCAGGUUUCGUUGUAUUAUAAAUAUGACCUCCUACAAGGAGAAGAACAUACAGAAAAUUCCCACAAACAAAUAUUCUCUCAUAGUUUUCAUAUUUUAGCAUGGUAUCAGAGCGGCAAUCUUGGAAUUGCUGACUCUAGUUUCAAACCCCCGCCGCCGCUAUGGGGGUUGAUGAUUUUUUCAACCAUCAUGGAGGUAGCACCAUCGACUCCUUCUCUCAUUCUCAACUAACCAUCGUUGAGUUGAGUGCCCAGAUGGCUCCGCUCCUACAGAUGCAGACUUUGACCCCAAACCCGAUCCAGAAUCAGGAUCUUCUUUCGACAACCACGACCCCGAUCUCGACUAUGACAACGACGACCCCGACCCCUACUCUGAAGAUGACCCCGACCCCCACUCCGAUGACCCCAACCCCGAAUUUGUCUCUGAUUCAGAACCCGAUCCCGAUUUCGACUCCGACUCCGGCCUCGACUCAGGCUCAGAUUUCGAUCCAAAUUCCUACUCAACUUAUAUCCUAUGCAUCUUCCGCUGCACAGAUUAUGACUUCUAGACUAACGACCCCGACAUAUGGACCAGAUUGCACAUAUUGUGGUGAUCCGAGACACACUUGUGAGACUUGUUUUAAAUCGCAUGGCUACCCCGAUUGGUGGGCUAUUCUUACAGAUCAAGGACAAUGCACCAGUAAUGGUACUGGUUAUGGAUUCCAUACUUCCGAUAAGAUUGAUUCCAGGAGCUGGAUAAUUGAUUCUGGUGCAACUGAUCAUAUGACGUUUGAUCCUGAUGAUUUUCUGAAUACUACACAACCUCGACGAACUUGUAUUGCAAAUGCCAAUGGUGUUACUUAUCCUGUGACAGGGGCUGGCACUGUUGCACUCUCAUCCUCUCUCACACUGUCUAAUACUUUACUUGUUCCAUUUUUAUCCACUAAAUUGUUGUUAGUUAGUCAGCUUACUAAACAAUUGAAGUGUUGUGUACUCAUUUACCUGAGUUUUUGUUUGCUUCAGGAUAUUCACACUAAGGAGAUUCUUGGUCGUGGUACUAAGAGAGGGGGGCUAUAUUAUGUCGAUGACUUCAGUUCCGGCGUGCCUAACAGUGUGACACAUCCCUUUGAUAGCAAACAAAAGCAAAUUUGGUUGUGGCACCUUCGAUUGGGACAUCCGUCUUUCAGUUAUAUGAAGCAUCUUAUACCAGAUUUAUUCUUAGGUUUCAAGGACUCCGACUUCACAUGUGAUACUUGUAUUUUGGCUAACAGUCACCGUGUGCCCUACCUGUUGAGUACGAACAAGUGUACUUGUAAGAUCCCACAUCAACCAACGGAGAGGGGGUGAUGUGCCUUAUAUAUGCACACCUGCAUCCAUCUAGCACGAGGCCUUUUGGGAGCUCACUGGCUUCGGAGUCGUAGGAACUCCGAAGUUAAGCGAGUUGGGGGCUAGAGCAAUCCCAGGAUGGGUGAUCCACUGGGAAGUUGCUCGUGAGCUCCUAGAAACAAAACCGUGAGGGCAGAGAGAGGGGCCCAAAGCGGACAAUAUCGUGCUACGGCGGAGUUGAUCCCGAGAUGUGACAAUUUGGUAUCAGAGCCACUCUGCCGUGUGGUGCGAAUGUGCCGACGAGGACUUCGGGCCCUUAAGGGGGGUGGAUUGUAAGAUCCCACAUCAACCAACGGAGAGGGGGUGAUGUGCCUUAUAUAUGCACACCUGCAUCCAUCUAGCAUGAGACCUUUUGGGAGCUCACUGGCUUCGGAGUUGUAGGAACUCCGACGUUAAGCGAGUUGGGGGCUAGAGCAAUCCCAGGAUGGGUGACCCACUGGGAAGUUGCUCGUGAGUUCCCAGAAACAAAACCGUGAGGGCCAGAGAGGGGGGCCCAAAGCUGAUAAUAUCGUGCUACGGCGGAGCCGAUCCCGGGAUGUGACAAUUGUACUACUCCAUUUACGUUAAUUCACUCUGAUGUCUUGGGACCUUCGCCUAUCACUGCUCCUUCUGGUGUUCGAUGGUUUGUCACAUUCAUCGAUGAUUGUAUACAGAUGACAUGGCUUUAUUUGCUGAAGAAUAAAAACGAAGUGUUUUCCCGUUUUCAGUCCUUCCACAAACAGAUGAAAACUCAGUUUAAUGCUCAAAUCCAGAUUCUUCGCUCAGACAAUGGUGGAGAAUUUGUCAAUCAUGACUUUCAGACUUACUUCCAACAACAUGGAAUUAUCCAUGAGACGACUUGUCCUCAGACACCACAACAAAAUUGUGUUGUUGAACGAAAGAAUUGACAUCUUCUUGAAACCGCCCAAGCACUUCUGAUUGGCGCUCAUGUUCCUCGCUAUCACUGGGAUGAUGCUAUUGUCACCGCAGUUCACCUGAUCAACCGCAUGCCUUCUGGUGUAUUGACCUUUAAAACUCCCUUACAGGUGCUUGCGCAACACAGACCUCUGCUCUCUGUUUUGGUACUCACACCCCGAAUCUUUGGAUGUGUGGCUUUCGUUCAUCUCCACAAAAAUCAACGUAGCAAACUUGAUCCCUGUGCGCUUCGUUGUGUUUUUAUAGGUUAUGCCACUCAUCAGAAAGGCUACCGUUGUUAUCACCCUCCUACCCAACGAACCUAUGUCACUUUGGAUGUGACCUUUCUGGAAUCUGAGUUGUUCUUCCAUGACCCAUCAUCCAAUUCUACGCAUCAGGGGGGGAUACGAAGUGAAGAGCAGAAUUGAAGCAACUUGGGAAAUAAAGAAAUUUUCCUCUGUACAGAAAUGAUUAAUCAUCCUGAGUCUGGAGCACGAGAUUACUCUCUGUCGAAAAGCAACCAAUCGCCCAUUCAUAGCGAUCAAUUGCCUCACCUACCUGAUCCAUGUGAAGAUAUUUUUGAUCCGAGUCUCACACCUACAGACAAUACAGAACAACAAGAUGAAGACUCCCCCUCUAACUCAACAGUACCAACAGACCAAUCUCCUGAGAAUAUCCUUGAGGUAACUACUCCUACUAGAUUUGUGCAUUUAAAUGAUUAAACUAUUGGAUAUCAAUUACCUUUCAGGGAAAAUCGUGGGAAGCCAUCAAACCGUUAUGCACCUGAUAUUGGCAAGACAUCCAAGUAUCCAAUUGCAAAUCAUGUAUCCACUGAGAAGCUGUCUGAACAACUCAAGGCUUUUGUGCAUCAGUUGUCUGCGAUCCAUAUUCCAACCAAGGUCUCUGAAGCAUUAAAAUAUCCUAAGUGGGUCCAAGCUAUAAAAGAGGAGAUGAAAGCUCUUGAGAAAAAUCAGACUUGGACAUUAGAGACUAUACCUCGAGGAAAAAAGACUAUCAGAUGUAGAUGGGUGUUUACUAUAAAACACAAUGUAGAUGGAUCUAUCGAGCAAUACAAGGCAAGACUUGUGGAAAAAGGGUACACACAGACAUAUGGUAUAGACUAUGAAGAAACCUUUGCUCCAGUUGCAAAGUCAAACACCAUCAGAGUCUUAUUGUCCCUUGCAGCUAAUUUGGAUUGGCCACUACACCAGUUUGAUGUAAAGAAUGCUUUUCUACAUGGCGUACUCACGGAGGAGGUGUACAUUUACAUUCCUCCUGGAUAUAAUACUACUUAGACUGGAACAGUUUGCAGGUUACGAAAAGCAUUGUAUGGAUUGAAACAGUCACCACGUGCAUGGUUUGGACAGUUCACCAUGGCAAUGAAGAACAAUGGUUCAAACAGUGCAACUCAGAUCAUACUCUACUCUUGAAACAUCGAAAAGGGAAGGUAACAACAUUAAUAAUCUAUGUUGAUGAUAUGAUUAUUACUGGGAAUGAUAAACAGGAAAUAUCACAGCUACAAGACUAUCUGGCUACGGAGUUUGAGAUGAUGGAUCUAGGUGGACUCAAGUAUUUCUUGGGAAUUGAGGUGGCUCGAUCCCAGCAAGGCAUAUUUCUCUCUCAAAGGAAAUAUGUCUUGGACUUGUUGACAGACACAUGAAUGCUAGAUUGUAAACCUGCGAACACUCAUAUUGUUCAGAAUCAUCAUCUUGGAGAAUAUCAUGAUCAAGUUCCAACUAACAAAGAAAGAUACCAAAGGUUAGUAGGAAGAUUGAUCUAUUUGUCACAUACUUGACCAAACAUUACUUAUGCAAUGAGCGUUGUCAGUCAAUUUAUGCACUCUCCAAGUGAAGACCACACGAAUGCAGUUCUUCGGAUACUUAGAUAUUUGAAGUCUGCACCUGAAAAAGGACUUAUUUUCUGAAAGCAUGGUCAUAUAAAUAUUGAUGGUUAUUCAGAUGUAAUGUAACAGAUAGAAAAUCCACAUCCGGUUACUUAACAUUCAUGGGAGGUAAUUUGGUGACAUGGAGGAGCAAGAAACAGAAUGUAGUAGCUUUAUCCAGUGCAGAAGCCGAGUUCAGAGGCAUGACUAAAGGAAUUUGUGAACUUCUUUGGUUAAGAAAGUUGCUUACUGAACUUGGGUAUAAACCUACAUCCACAAUGAUUCUCUUUUGUGACAACAAGGCUGUUAUAGCCAUUGCACAGAAUCCGGUUCAGCAUGAUCGUACUAAACAUGUUGAGGAGGAUCGACACUUCAUCAAACAGAAGCUUGAGGCUAAAAUGUUUCAGUUUUCUUUUGUGAAAUCCGAGGAUCAAUUGGCGGAUAUUUUGACAAAGGUGAUUUCCAGUAAAACAUUCCACAAUUCACUGGAUCAGUUAGGCAUUGGCGAUAUCUAUGCACCAACGUGAGGGGAAGUGUUGGCGUGACUUGUGGAUAUUGACUUACUUUCCUUACACACCAAGAAUUCCUAUUAUAAUUGUAAUUGAUUUACUUUAAUUCCUGAUUUCCUAUUGUAAAUAGAUUUAGGAAUUUAUUAUUUACUUGCCCAUUCAGGUUUCGUUGUAUUAUAAAUAUGACCUCCUACAAGGAGAAUAACAUACAGAAAAUUCCCACAAACAAAUAUUCUCUUAUAGUUUUCAUAUUUUAGCAAGAACUACUCGAGAGUUUACUAAAAGAGUAGUUCAGUAUUCAUCCACAAGCUAUAUACACAAUACACUCUAUAGAUAUGCCAAAAUCAUCGCAAGCUCUAGAUUUUAGGUUCGAUACCUGCAAAAUCUAUUAGAAGGGUGAGUGAAACCACAGUUUAGUAGGGACAUAAACCUUUUCACGGUAAACUGAUAUAAUUAAAUUAAGUGAAAAAUAAUCACACAGCCAAAUAUCACAUUAUUAAUAACAAUGCAUGAAUGCUCUUCAUUUAACCCGUUAAUUCAUAUAAUUAGACAAGCUUCACGACCCAUACCAUGCUUAUACCACUUAGUCCCGAAUGCCAAUUUAUAUGAAUUAACGCCCAUUUCAAUCAUCCCAUAAUUCCCAUUUUGUUAGUCAUCUUGUCUAACUCCCUGUUGCCAGUCCUGAAUCACCAAAAAAAAAAAACCAUGUGCACUAUGGGAUCCCUGAGUACUAGUACCUGGCAAGAGUUAGACUCAACUACACAAAAGAUCAUUUCUAUUACCCUCUUAUCCACCAUUAUUUUCUCAACUUCAGAAUUCUAGCCAAAUUCCAUGACAUGAUAUAAUUAAAAUUAUGCCUUCACAACAAUGUGCCCAUUUAAAACAUCACUAAUGCACAUAUAAUUAUGCCCACAUUGUUCAAAUAGUUAAGAGUACGUAAAUACCCAAUACAUGGAACGUCAAUCAAACAGUACCACGCAUAAUAUAAUGCUCAAGAAAUUUAAUUAAAUCAAUCUCUGUAAAAGGCCCCUAAGAAACCCCUGCCUUGAUACUAAAGCUUUUGCUAGACCUAUAAGGUGUUUUCCAAUUUUCCACCGCAUUCACAAACUCUGUCUUCUACUUUUUUUCUUACUUCUCUCUACCACUAUUUCUUUCUCGUUUUCUUUGUUUUCACUUGUUGUGCAACUUAAUGUCCUAUAUAUAUACAAGGAACAAGUCGGCAGUAAGUGAUUUCCUAUUGGAUGGUGUAUUCGGUUGUUAUAAACUUACUAGUAAUAGUUAUCAAUGUAGUUGCAGAUGAGGAAGAAUGUUUUUGUGACUCUUCCAAUCCCUCUAAUCCUAUUUCUUAUCUUCUUGGUGAGUUGAUAGCCUCGAUACUUAACAGAUUUUAUACUUUGACACGUAUUAACAAGAACUAUUUUAAAAACAUAUACAUAUAUAUAUAUAUAAUAGAAUAUGUAUAUAUGUAAUACACAUAUUUAUAUAUAAUAAGAAUAAUAUAUAUGUAAUAAGAUAUAAAUAUUUAUUAGAACAGUAUAUAAAAUAAUAUAUAUCAUUCUUAUUAUAACAAUAAUUUUAAUUUUCCCAAAAUAAUAUAUAUUUAAAAAUAUGUGGUUUCACAUGCAUGUCCUUUUUGCUAUAGACACUAUUACAAAAAUCGAAAUAGACAACGGAAAACUACCGUCGUCUGGAAAGUUUUCAAACAGUCGUGAAAUCGACUGUCGUCUCUUUUACAUAAAACAACGACGGCUAUUAACCAACGUCGUUAAUACAUUCCACGUAAAAAACUAUUAUAAACCGACGUGUAAUUACUAUAUAUAUAGCCUAAAAUAAAAUCUUCAACAACCUUAGACGACGGUUUUAUUAAAACUGACACGUCUAAAGAGUGUUACAUGUCAAGAUCAAAACAAGAACCGACGUACAGAUAAUUAUCCACGUCCUAAUUGAAGUAAAAUAGACUUGGAUAACCUAGAAACCGUCGUGGUUAACAUAUACUACGUUAAAUUAACAAAGGCACUUACGUCUAAAAAGUAAAAGACAACACGCGCACAAAGCAACAGACGUUUAAAGCUUAGUACAUGUCAAUAGCCGCUCAAUAACCGCAGUAAAAUGAAUUAACCACGUCCCACAUAUGGCAGAACUGUUGCUUAUGUGAUUAUCCACGUCGCGGAGUAGUAGAACAAAGACGUUGUAACCAUAUUCCACGUCUGUUUCUUGUGAGAAUUGUCGUUUAAAUUAUACAAAGAAGCCCCUUUGACAGAGUUAGACGUUGCUCUUGCUGUAGAACCGACUUCUAACAGGUUUAAAAUGACACAAUAUUACUUAAUACUGCCGUAACAAAUCAUAUCCACGACUGCUGUUGUCAAAGACUGACGUUACAAAAAAUAUUGAAGGUGUUGACAAAAAAGAACCGACAUGGAUUAUGCAUUCAACGUCGUGUGGUCUAAAAAUAAAGGACGUGGUUAAUUUUUUCUCUACGUCAAGUGGAUCCAAUUGCCUGAUGUUGUAAUUCUUUACCAUGUUGGUUUUUAAUACAUGAUGAUGUGGUUGUCCUUUUAAAAGUCGCUUGUUUUACCCUCCUUGACGUGUGUAUGAUAUGAGACGUCAAUUGUUUUAGACUAGCUGACGUGCAGAAAAUCUGUCACGACAAUUAAUGCAACUGAAUUGCCUCUAUUUCCCCCAGACGACGGUAGGUUUUAAGUGUGGAAGUAGUGUUUUACAAAAUCGUAAGUUGGAGUAAUCUACCAUCGUGUUAUUCGAGAAUAUACCACGAUCUUUGUUUUGUACUCGGUCGCUGAUGUUUAUACUACUUAAUAAACUGACAUGUUUUCAGUUUCAGACGGCGGCUUUUGUUUCUUUAUGGUCUUUUGCAUUUUUUUUCCAUGACAUUUUUGAAAGCCUAAUGUUGGUUUUAUUUUAGAAAUCGAUUUUUCCCCUUUUUUUACUGGACCGUCGUACUUUACACAUUUAAUCAAUUUUUUUCAAUUUUUGAUUCAUCGUGCCCAAAGCCUACAUAACGAAAAUGUGAUCAGAAUUAAAAUGAUGUACAAAGGUAUUAAUUAAUGUCAUACAAUUAACUGAAUAACUAAUGUCAUACACUACAACAAUCAAUCAAUCCAUAUAUCUUCACACCCAUCUUUAAUAUUUUCACUCCCAAACUCACCCACUAGGUCAUCAUAUGUGUCAACAUUUGGUAUCCCUCUAGUAAAUGUCUCACACUCAAUUCUAAUAUCACCUAGCACAUCAUCACCAAUAACAUUAUUAUAUUCUCUAUUAUGCAUUGAUAACACUACCGACCAACCACGAUGCAUUGGGUCGUCAGCAUAAAAUACUUGUUUUGGUCAUUCCUAUGUCCAAUUUUACUCAAAUCUACAAAGGUGAAUCCAAGUUCAUCGACAACAAGGCCCAAAGUGUUAUCUAUCCAAUCACACCUCAAGACAAGGAUUCUAAACUUUUGGUAGUCAAGGUCCCAAAUUUCUUGAAUAACACCAUAAAAACCCAUAUUGGAGACAAUAGAGUUUUUAUCCUUAGCACUAGCAACUUGCAUAGUAUGUGCAAGUAAAUAAACUCCACUAUUUUGGACAGUUCGCAUAUCAUCUUGUGCCUUGGUGUUAAAUUUAACACCAUUAAUAAGAUAGCUCCUAUAUGAUGGCAUUGCCAUGCUUGGACUAGCUGCUAGCCACCUCAAAUUUUAUGAUACGCCAUUAUGCUCUUCCCCAUUAAGUUCACUUUGAACUUGCAAAUUAAUCGUAUAUAUCCUAAUUCGAUCUAACAUAUAAAAAGGAAGAAAAUUAAAAGUUGAAUAUGUCAUUCAAUAACAUAUAUACUUGAAAGUGUAGCCAUUGAAUGAAAGUGCUAUUGUGCUUAUCUUGCAGCCACUUUGUUCUCUUUCUAAAUAUUGGAUAAGUGGUCUUGAUGUGGAUCAUAUGUUCCAUACAUUGACACGAAAAAAUCAAGCAUUACGGUCCCUUGUAUAUAAGAUAACAUAAGGAAUAAUAAUAUUUAAAAUGGCUCUAUAUGAAAAAUGGAACUCAUGCGUACUCGAUAUAAGGUAGGACUUCCUCAGUAUUCUCCAAGACAUAUAGAUGUGUCUGGUUCAAAAAACCCGAUCACCUAAGCUUACUGUGCAACCAGAUAAUGGCUUUGAAACUCCCAUCUUCUAGCUUGAAGGCACUCCAACUGUACUAACAUCAGAUAAAUGCUCGGUGCAAAACUCUACAACUUCUUCAGCUAUAUACCGCUCAAUAAUGCAACAUCCGGGACGAGUACGGUUCUGAACAAACCUAUUUAGCACUUUCAUAUGUCUUUCAAAUGGAUACAUCCAUCUAAAAUAUACUGGCCCAUGUAGACGAACUUCUCUGACAAGAUGUACUACUAGAUGAACCAUGAUAUCAAAGAAUGAAGGGGGAAAGUACUUCUCAAGCAAACGCAACGUAACUACUACAUCUUCUUCCAAAUUAUCUAGCUUGGAAACAUCUACUGUCUUUGCACAUAUAGCAUUGAAGAAGAAGCACAAUCGAGUUAUUGCAUACCUUGCAGGCUUCUCCAAACAGAACGAAUUGCCACAGGGAGCAAUUGUUGCAUCAAGGCAUGAAAAUUAUGAGAUUUAAGGCCAAGAAGUCUUGAAUAUUUUUAAGAUACAAGAUUUUUUUAUAUUUGAACAAUAACCUUCAGGGACUUUCAUACCAUAGAAAGAAUUGCAAACCGCUCUCUUAUCUGCUCUUGACAAAUUCUAGGGCCUUGGAGGCAAGCGAGUACGUCUUUCUCAAUACUCGGGUUGCAAAUCAUUUUUGACCCCCAUGUUCAAUAAAUCUAACCGAACAGCAAUCUCAUCUUUAUUUUUUCUAGGGAUCUCCAGCAAUGUACCAAUGAUACUAUCGCAAACAUUCUUCUCAAUAUGCAUAACAUCUUGGACAUGCCUCAUAGGAAGGUAUUUCAAAUACUCGAGAUCAAAGAAUUUUGAUUUCUUAUUCCAACAAACUCUGUCACCAUCAUUCUCAAAAACACUUCCCCCAUUUUUCGAGCCCCAUAUGUAAUUAAUAUCUUCAACCAUGUCCUAUUCAAGUUAAUGGUUCGGGAGGCGUGCCAUAUUCAAGUUUUCCAUUGAAAGCUGCACGCUACCUCCGACAUGGAUGAUUGAUUGGUAACCAUUUUUUAUGACCAAUGUAACAAAUUUUGGGGCCAUUUUCAACCUGUGACUAGGUGUAUCAUCGCCGCAUAUUGGACAAGCUUUAUAUCCUUUAACGACACUGUAACACCCCGACUCUAAAUUAAUCCCUUAUUUAAUUAUUUAAAGAAAAUUACAAAUUUACCCUUAAGAUAGGGGUAUUUUGGUCAUUUUCUUACCCGAAGAGAGUUUGGGGCAGUGACUAGUAUUUUUGGAUAGGUCGUACUGAGACGAGUUCAUAGACACGUAGUGGGCUCGAAUCGAAGUUGUAACGAGAGAGAUAUGGUCAAAAGAAACCCAAUUGCACAAUCAUAAUUAUUUCGAAAUGAGAUUUUUAUAAAAAUCAGAUUUUUUUUUCUCUCUCUCUCUCUCUCCUCGUCGGUCUCUCUCCCUCUCCUCGAAACUCCGGCCAUCGGCCACGGCUGUGGACGGGGCCGGUACCAAAAUGACCGAGGCGUUGUCCUCCUCUAAUCCCAGCUAGGUCCCGCCGUCAGCCGCCAUGGUUUCGCCGGAAAAUGGAGAAGAAGCGGCCGGCGUCGUCCGAAGUUCUCCGCCGUUGAUCUCCCUCUUCCGGUCACCGAUUCCGACGAGUGAGGUAUGGUUUCUCACCUACUUUUCAUGCUCUAGCUGCCUGCUGGGUAUGAUUGGAUUGAUUUUUAGCGUAGGCAAUUCGAUUUUCGCAUUGAAAUUCGGCUAAUUUUGGAAUCACGAUUCCGGCUAGUUCUGGUCAGUUUUUGGGGUAGAUCCAAGAACAAAAGUGGCUCCAAAUAGGGUGUUAUACCUAGGGUAGGAGUUUGGAGCCAUGGUUUUGAGAUUUUCCGGCGAUACGUAAUCGCUUUAGACACCCAACGCUGCCCGCACGUGUGGCAGUGCGUGGGCGAGGGUAGUGAAAUAGCACUAUGUCUCGAUGAGAUCCUUAGGUUGUCACGAGUGCGUAGGAUUUCGCGGAUCUCAAUUCGGACGUCGUUUGACUAUCGAACGGAUUUUCGUAUAUUGCGCGUCAUCCGGGUUCGAUAGGUUGGGACCGUUGGAUGGUCUCGAAUAAAAUAUAUGUUAAUCUAGGUAUUUCUAGGAUCAUGUAGGAAUUCACGGAUUAUAAAUCGGAGCCCCGGAUAUUCCGAAUAAAUAAUUUAAAGUUUAUGUUUUAUAAUAACCGUCACAUCGUGCGAUCGUGAGCGAUCCGACCGGCCGAUCUGGACCAAACUUACAGAACGAGUGUCCUAUACCUUGAAGAACCCAUAGGAAUUUUCAGAUCGAAAUUUGGAGGUCGUGGGCCCCGUGGGCCCAUUUGACUAGGGGUAGGGUAGUUUGACCCUUAGUUGACCGUGAGUCUCCCGGAGUAAUCUCACCUUUCCAGGGGGAUUAUCGGGUGCUAGACUGUUGUUGAGGUUUACACGAUAUUAGUAGUAAAUUAUAUAUUUAUAUACAUUUGUAAAGGUAAAAAAUAAGUCCAGAAUGUCAGUUUGAAGUGCUUUACGCACUACCUUAGGUACCUCCCCGGAUUUUAGUUACACUACAAGUACCACCCUAUGAAAGUUAGGUCCCACGUGGCGUAGGUUAUCCGGCGUGCGGACAGGCCCUAUACGUGGCAUUGGUAGUAUCGGUGUAUGGGGAGAUUACGUGAUAAUAUGUUGAGGUCACACGUGGCGUAGGUUAUCCGGCGUGUUGACAGACCCCAUACGUGGCGUUGGUUGUACCGGCGUAUGAGGAGAUAUUGUGAUAUGAUAUUCAGGUCUCGCGUGGCGUAGGUUAUCCAGCGUUGAGACAGACCCCAUACGUGGCGUUGGUUCUACCGGCGUAUAAGGAGUUUAUGUGAUAUUAUGUUGAAGUCGCGCGUGGCGUAGGUUAUCCGGUGUGUCGACAGACCCCAUACGUGGUGUUGGUUGUACCGGCGUAUGGGGAGAUAUGUGAUAUGAUGUGCAGGUCUCGCGUGGCGUAGGUUAUCCGGCGUUGAGACAGACCCCAUAUGUGGCGUUAGUUGUACCGGCGUAUGGGAAGAUAUUGUGAUAUGAUAUUCAGGUCUCGGGUGGCGUAGGUUAUCCGGCGUGUUGACAGGCCCCAUACGUGGCGUUGGUAGUACCGGUAUAUGGGGAGAUUAUGUGAAAUACAGAGAAAUGAAAUAAGGUAUUGCCUAUGUGUGGAAUUGGGUUUUAAGGAAGAACUACGUGUGGCUUGAUCCCUCAGGGAGGGUACGUAGGCAGCCUAAGGUUAUUAGGUGUAGCCGCGGACAUAGACGUGAUUGUGUUAGGAGGUUAAAACCUCGUAUGUUGAAAUUGAGAAAAUUAGAUGAUGUAUGUUGAAAUUUAGUAGUCGUAAUUUAUAUUUAAAUUUAUCGUUUGCCUUGUUUAAGGCAUGAAUUGAUUUGCUAGCAUGCUUGGUAGUUGAGAAUUAUAGAAAGGCCGAAGGCCGUUUAUGUGAAUUGCAUGGAAUUAUAUUGUGCAUGCUGCCAGUUGUAGUUAUUAAAUGUGUUUUUAUGCAGGUUGAAAUUUUGGGAAAUGUCCAAUUUACAGGGGAGACUCUGCCGAAAUUUCGGCAGAAAGUCUCGGUCUUUAGUAAGUGGGCCUGACAUCGAGGUGAUGUCGGGGAAUCCACAGGAUCCGCCUCGAUUUUUGGAAAAAUCGGGGCGGUUCCUUUCAGACACAACCAGAUAAGUUCUCAUAGGCAGAAAAAUCAUUAAUUGUUCACAGUAAUACACCUAUGAGUGUAAAGUAAUCUCCUAUGUGUGCAUCAUACACUCCUUUAAUCCCAUCCCACAAAGAUUUUAAAUCAUCAAUCAGAGGCUCUAAGUAGACAUCUAUAUCAUUUCCAUUCUAUUUAGGACCAGAAAUCAAUAAGGUCAAUAUCAUGAACUUCCAUUUCAUGCAUAGCCAUGGUGGGAGAUUAUAUGUAACUAAGAUAACCAACAAUUGUAUCUGCUACUUAAAGAACUGUGGGGAUUGAAUCCAUCAGAUGAGAGAGCCAAUCUCAAGUUUCUUGGCUCUUUACUGAACUCGGGCCAUUUAUCAUCAACAAGUUUUUAAGACGGGAAAUUCGCUGGAUGAGACAUAUGACCGUCAAUUGCUUUUCUAGCAACAUGCCAAGUCAAACUCUUAGCUGUCAUAUGUGAUUGAAACAUCCUUUUAAACCUUGGAAUUGGAGGAAAAUACCACACCACCUUCGCUGGCACACUCUUUUUCAAGAUUGAAUCUUUGCAUUCCUUCCACCUUGAGAUACCACAAGUAGGACAAUUAGUUGAAUCUUCAUAAUCAUUCCUAUACAAGAUGCAGUCAUUGGGACAUGCAUGGAUAUUCUCAUAACUCAUCCCUAAAGGAGAUAAUGUCUUUUUUGCCUCGUACAUAGAGGAAUAUAGUGUCUUUCCUUCUGGAAGCAAAUCUCCUUGAAGUAUCAAUAAUUCUAUAAAACAAACAUCACUCAUCCCAUGUUUUGCUUUCAAAUUAUAUAACUUCACCAAAGCCGACAACAUCGUGUACUUACUGCAACCAGGGUACAAGGAUUGAUCUCAAUCCCCAAUCACAUUGGCAAACUCAUAAGGAUCAAAUCCAAUAUCGCCUAAAUCAUUAUCAUCCAUCCCUACUUCUUUAGAAACAAAACUGAACCUACUUUGCUCAUCUUCUUCCACAUUUCUACUAGCAUUAGUAGUCAAUUCCCAAGGUUCUCCGUGCCAUGUGCAAAUCUGAUAGCUUUAGUCAAUUCCAUUAAAGUAUAAGUGGUCCCUCAUAAUUCCAACCCCAAACAAUCGAAUAUUCCCACAUUUAACACAUGGACAACGAAUAUGAGUUGUAUUUCCAAGAUUUUCUACAGCAAAAUUCAAAAAUCCUUCCACCCCUAACUCAUAUGCCUUCGGUCUUCUAUCCGCAUGCAUCCAUGACUUAUCCAUCUCACACACUAUAAAAUCAUAUAUAUAAUAAAGUGAAAAGACCAGCAAUGAAACACUACUUUAUUCACAUAGCAAAGAAUGAAUUGAAAAAAAAAAUUAACCAAGAAUCAGACGACGGUUUUUACAAAAAAAAUCGUCCUGUAACAGAGGGUCAGACGACGGCAUAUCUAGUUAUCGACGUCUUUAAGCUACCCAAACCCAGAUAUUUGUAUUGCUUUUUGAAGAACCGGGUUCUGGGUUCUGGUAAACAAAAGAUGACGGUAAAUGGAGAAACACCGACGUAUCCUAAAACUUGAGACGACGGUUUAUUUCACCAACCGUCGUCGUAGUUUACGAAAAACAGAAGUCUAAAUCUCCCAUCCUCAUUCCUUUUCUAAGAACCCUUAACAAAAUGCAAACAUCAAAAUAUAAAAGAGCCAUAUAUAGCUCCCAAUUAAGAAACCAAAGCUACCAAAACAUAUAUUAAUAAACCAAAGCUACCAAAAUGAACGAAAACAUUUAUGGGUUUUACAAACUAAGAGAAUAUUGAGAGAGAGCUGAGAGAAUAUACUUACAUGGAUAUUGAGAGAGAGCUGAGAGAAUAUAACAAAUGCUUGAGAGAGAGCUUAGAGAAUAUACACAAUGCUUUGAGAGAGAGCGAAAAAUUUAAGACAAAUUUAUGUUGAAGAGAGAGAAGGAAAUAUUUUAGGGUUAAAGGGAAAUUCUGAAAAUUUUAGAUCACCGUCAAAAUUUUCAAAGGACCGCGUUUUUCAAAGACGGCUAAGGAAAACUACCGCCAUUGUAAAUCAUUUUACUACGACGGUUGAGGAAAACUACCGCCAUUGUAAAUCAUUUUUAUGUCGCCUCUAUAAAAACCGACGUCUAAAAUAUUAAAUAAUUAGAUUUGGUUUGCAUUUCGUGGGAUUCUAACGUGCGUAAUUGACCAAAAAGAGCGAGAGAAAACCAGCGUCGUUUCUAUAAAACCUAAACCCUAAACCCUAAACCCUAAACUCUAAAACCUAAACACUGAAAAAAUUAACCAAAAAUUGCUAUGGACUCCUUACAACAAUGCCUUCUAUAUUAGUAGGCUAAAAUCGGGAUUAAAUAAUUUUGAAUUUUAUGACCACCAAUGGAUCACAUAAACCUUAGGGUUAUGUUUAUGGAAAGUAUAAGGAUUAUUGUGUUUUGUCUCUAAAUCUUUUUUACUUUUGUUAUCACUUGUAACUUUGAAAUCUAAAAUUAAAAUUUUCAGGCCUUUAGGGGGGAGAUAUUGUCUCAAUGUGUUUAUAGAAUUUGAGACUGCGAAGGUUCUAGCUGAUUGACUAAGGAUGAGGCAGGAUGGAUGGAAGGUUUGCUUGGAGAUUCUACCUUUGUCAGCUCUUCUGGUUGACAUGUUGUUUAUUCUGCCUGAGGAACUACUUCUAGAUUUUUCCCUUUUCUAGCAGAACUAGUCUCUGGAAGUACUUGUGUGUCAUCCUUAUUCUUGAGGAAGACGCAGUAUUGCCUUUGAACUCUCCUCUUUUGCAUUCUGGUUAGCUUCAGAGUUGGUCUUCGGCUUUUUCCAAUAGAAUAUCAUCUACCUUCUAUGAUAGUUGCAAAGGGCUUGUCAUUUCCAGGCAUCUUAACUGGUAUUUCCUUCUUUGGCUGCUCUAUUAUUCUCUUGUUGCGUUGGGCAGGCCUUAAAUAGUCCUUCUGUCUGGCUCUAUCUCUAGGUGGAGCCGGAACUAGGCCUUGUUGGUAUGAUGUUCCAAUCCUGUCAAAAACACAAGGUGUGGGCUGACUUUGCCUAACCAGAGUUACCUCUAACUCACUUUCACAUUUGCACCUGUUGCACAAAACUACCCCAGCCGAAAUGGUUGCUUUUGGUCUUCAAUUAGCCUAUCUUUGGACUCUUCUGCCUAUGCUGGGGCUAACUUUUGCUGUUAGUUUGCCUUUCUUUUGUUUUGGCCAAUUUAAGUUGACCAUGUUGACUUGAGGUUGGGGAAAAGGGUCUGUUGUUAUCGAAUGAGGUUUCUCAGCCAGUUUUAGCCUCCAUGCUGUUAUUCCUUCCUGUAUGACGUCCCUGAAAACAACACAACUAUUGGUGGAAUGGUCCCAGGAGUUAUGCCAUCUGCAAUACUGUCUGCCCUUGAGUUCCUCUAGCUUGGGCAACUUGUAGGGUGUUUCUAUUGCCUUCUGUCGCAGCAUGUCAUCAAACAGGGCAUCAACCUUGGUUAAAUCGAGGGAAUAGACUUUGUUAUGAGCUGGUUUGUUUGGAACAAACCCUCUUGUGAAUGGUGGUGGCUUUUGGUCCUUUGGUGGCUUUGUUAAAGCCUUGCAACUGAUGAGAUGUUUUAAUUUCCCCAUUUCUGCCACUGCAACUUCUCUCUCCUCCGAGCUUUCUAUGCCUUCUUCUGAUUCUACCUCAACAAGAUUUACUGAAGAGGAUGGGGUUUUGUAAUAUGUGCCUUUGAAAGAGUUCCUCUUCUAUUGUUCUUCCCUGAGCAGCUCCUUGUAUUUAGAUGCUUUGUCUGCUAGUUCUGCCAGAUCUCCAAACAGCAUCCCAUCAAAUUUUUUUCUCAGAGAGAUUUUAAGGGAGAUUUGAGCCAUUUGGAUGAAGUGCCCUUCCUCCAUAGGGAUUCAAAAUUUCAUUUUGAGCUUUUUGAACCUGGUUAUGAAGUCUUGGGCAGGCUCAUCUUCCCUCUAUUUCCAGGUUUGAGGGCAGCAAGAUCACUGAUGGUGACUUCUGGCUGAAUCCUAAAAUAGUAGUCAUGGAAGACAUUUUCCAUCUAUUUCCAGGUUUGAACAGAAUUGGCUGGUAAGCUAGUAUAUUAGAUGAAGGCUUGUCCAGAGAGAGAAUUUCGAAAAAGCCUUAGUUUUAACAGAAGGUUAUUUUCUAUGGCUAUGCACUGGAAAGAGAAUCUGCCUAUAUGCUUAACUGAUGAAGCAUGGGUGUCUUCUCCGUUGAACAAGGUGAAGUGUGGUACCUUAAAGCCCAGGGAUAGAGGUAUUUGAUCGAUAUAAGCUGGAUAAGGCUUUCUGUAGGUGGGCCUUUCUCCUCUUCUGGCCUCAGGUUCCAUCAUCUCUCUGAUCAUUCUAUAAAGUGCCCCCAUGUCAUUCAAAGCAUUGACAUGAUGCGGGGUUCGCCCCUGUUCUGGCUAGUUGUGUUCAAUCCUUUGUUCUACUUUAUAUGGCCUGGGCAGAACUUCCUCCCUAUGCUCUUCCUCUUUUUCGAAAUCUGGAUGAUUCCUUUAGUUUGCCCCCGGUCUGUUUUUGUCAUUGUUGGCAAAGGGUUUAACUCCUACUCUACCUCUCAUGCCACUUGCUAGUGGAGGGAAUGGAUUGGGGUCCAUCCUUCUAGGUCUGUAGGGCAACACAACUGGUUGCUCAGGCAGAAGUGCCAAGGCCUGAUCACGUGGGGCCACUAGUUGUGGAAUAGGUGGAGGUUCUGGCUAGUUCUGAGGGGGUCUGAACUGGUGCAGAGCCUUCUGGAUGAACUGAAUCCUCAUGUUCUUGGAUGGGAAGGGCUCCUCCCCUCUGUCCAGCUUGGAUUUCUCCAUGUCCUGGUAUUCCAGCUAUCUGUGUGAUGAGAGGCUUCUCUUCAUAUGGCCAUGCCAGUCCUGGUAGAGGUCCAAAAGGGAGAUCUAGCUGCUGGACCACCAUGUCUAGGUUUGGAAUUUUGGCAAUAGUAGCCUCACGGUCCUUCCUGAACUGCCUGUUGACUUGCCAUUACAUCAUGGUUGUCAUGUUGUUUAGAGUAUCUUGGCUCAUUUGUGCUGUGGCUUCUUGCCGAAACACAGCCUCCUGUAUCUAGUUUAACCUUCUGGAACCAGACAUGGAACGUCUACUCGUGGUACUGCCAUGGGCUGAUUACCUAGCAUCACUUUCUUUUGACUCAAGUCCUUUUCGGAGAGCUGCUUGAUCUCUUUUCAUGGCAUAGCGUGGAUUCUGGCUAGAACUUCCAAUAUUCAUAUACUAGAGGAUUUUUCUAGAAAUAUAUGUAUUGAGAAGUCCCACUGGGCGUGCCAAAUUGUUCAUCCGUUUUAGAUUUGUUCCUGUGAUGGUAGGGUAAAGUUCCUCAUUGACUUGAAAACCAUUGGUGGUCAAUAAGUCAACUUUCUUUUGUGUACAAAUGUGCCACUGCUAGCAAUAAAAACCCUAGCAGACUUCUUAAAAAUAGAAAACUUGUGCCCAAGUUAUUAACUUCUAAAUAAGCGAUUGUGAAUUUGGGCGAGGAAUAUCUCCCAAGUAAGUUCUUUUCUUUGCCUCAGAUUGGUGAGGACUUCACAAUUUUUCACAGUACAAAACUGGUAGUUCUAGCUAGAAUAAAUGAUAAGAAAGUGAACUGUUUUCAGGCAGAACUACCUUUUACAAAGCUUAAAAAGGAAGACCAACUCUAAAAAGACAAAAAGAGCUUUUGGACUUCAAUUUCUGCUUGGAUAAAUGCUUCUGAUCCGGGCUGGACUGGGUAUGUUUGUGCUGGACUGGACUAUCAACACCUUCAACUGUCAAGUUUUAGCUGUCAAUGAAUACCAAUGUUCGAGUGUGGCAAAGCUUCAAUCUAUUUCAAGCCGUGCAAGGCUUUUUGAACGGACAGAAUUGGAACCUCUUCAGUCUGGAAGGGGUAGAAGUGGCUGAAUUUGGUGAUUACUGAGCUGGAACUGCACUGUAGUACCUGUUCUGCUUGAUCAGGGCUCUCCAUAAAUUUGUUGAGGUUUUAAUAUUGGUAAAACCCGAAGCUUAUGUUGAACCAACUUUGUAACGAGAGAAAUCUUGCUUUGAAUGACUAUUUCUCUGAAACUAAACAGAAGUUAGAGAUUCUGGAAUAUAGCUGACUUGUUUCUUAUGGCUCAAUGAGCUUUUGGUUGCUUCAGUGUUUUGAAGGCUUUUGAGAUCAAGUGAUCAUUUUGAGUUUUUAUUUUUGAUUGAUUUUUUGGCUGUCCUUUUAUCUGUUCACCUCAUCUCAUAUUUAUAGAAUAUACUGGAGUGUGAUUUCUAAUCUUUUAAUAAUGGGCGGCAAAUCUUUUAAAAGAUCUUUUUUUCUUUUUUCAAUGUCAUAAGAGAAGGAAGCUACUAUUCUGACAGAGAAAGGUUGUCAACAAUCAUCUUUCAAUUUUUCUAUGUUCACUUUUUGUUCUUUGUAAAGAGAAAGAACACAAUCUACCAUGAUGGUCAGUGUGCUUUUCCUGUUGAACAACUCCCUCGUUCUCUACUUAUCUCUUGAAAACGUAGUCUGCUUAUCUCUUGGAAAGACCACCUGAUUUGGUGCAGAGCUUCUCUAUAUAUAUAUAUAUAUAAAGGGAUUUUGAUCUUCUUCUUUUGGCUGAAAAAAUAGAGAAGUCUUUCUGUAAGACCUGCCUUCAUUAAUUUUCUAUCAACUUCUCUGUAAUAGUUGAAAAUUUUGACUUUUCAAAGCCAGGUAUUCACGUGGGGUUGUUUAGAAAAGAUCUGUUGAUUUUGUCAAUCUUUUAGGGUAGAGAUUAAAUAGCGUAAAAAGGCUGGGCUAGUCUCUUUUUCUUAGUAGAUAAAAAGCCCAAAUAUUUUGUCUCACUGCCCUUUUCUGGAAAAUAAAUGGGCUGGGUGUGUUGGAAAUUGGCCCAAUCUUAAGAAAGACUCUGGUGGCUGCCCAAAAUUGACAUAGGCUUUUCUUGAUUUUGGGCUGGGCAUGCCAAAUUAGGCCCAAACAAUGCCCCUUAAGUCUGAAUUGUUUUUGGAAUAGUUUCAGACUUAAUGAUUUGGCCAUUAAUUUGUGCGCGCCAUUUCCUUCUGUUAGCCCACAUCUGCCACGUCUGCCUAUUAUGAUCAAGACUUCGUGGGAAAGUGGGCAGUUACUAGCUAGUUAUUAUCAGGUGGCGUCUUGUCUUCUUCUUCCCACGAUUUCGAGUCUUUCUAAGAAAUUUAAAAAGACCUCAGCUCCUGUUUACUCAAAACCUAACUUCUUCAGACCUUGAUUUUCCUCAGUUUUCUCAGAAUUUUUACCCUUUUCUGCGAUCAAACCCUGCUUCCUUUCAGUUUGAUUCCCCUAUCCUAGCUCAAAACCCGAAAAUGUCUUCUCCAAAAAAUCGUGCCCAGACUUCUUCUUAUUCUGUUCCUCCUACCUACAUUACUGGGGCCGGUGUUGAUAAGCAUGUGAUUGAAGUCCGGAGCAAGCUUCAUCCUUUUGCCCAGAACGUUCUGGACAAGAACGUGUUACAUUUGUUCGAGAACACUCUUGUUUUGGAGCCUCAUCGGUUUGGUUCUGUCCCGACUGAAAUGGCAGAAUUGUUUAAAGAAUAUACUGAAGCUCCUCUAUGCUUUCAGAGCUCUUUCGUAGAUUUCAGUUUUAUAUAUAAACUAUCGUGUUUCUCCCUAUAACAUGUCGUUUUUAAGAAUUGUUGUCAAUGUUUUAUUUCCUGCUACUAUAAGACGGCGAUUAUUUAUACAUAUGAGACGUGUAAAUUAGAAUGAGACGUCAGUCUUUGGGAUUUAAAUUAAGUUUUUACGAUUUAAUGUCAUUUUAGUUCAUAUAAGGACAUAAAUGUCCUAACCAAAAAUAUAUUUAUGUACAUUGUCAAUAAAUUAAAAUAAACCUAAACAUUGUUAAAAUAAAUUAGAUCACUUAUUAUUCUGUAAUUACUUGUUAACGAAUUCAGCCCAUUCCAACCUGACUUCGUCAAUAUGUUCUUAUACAUACUGAACUGGUUCCUUUUUCUUAUCAAACUGCAAAUAAAUAACAAAAACCAACGUGUUAUAAAGAUUACAACGACUGCUUUUAAAGAAAAAGUUGUGGUACUAAAAUAAAGAAUUUAUAUCUUAAGUUUUGCCUUUUACCUUCUUCUCAAAUGCUAGGCCUGGAUCAUGAAUUAUAUCUCUCAUGAAAUGCAUCACGUAAUAGCCACACUCUACAUUUGUUGGUUGUCGAGGAGUGCCAUGUAGAUUUUUCCAUAUGACUGAUUUACAUGAUGAUUAAUUGCCUGUGUGAGAGUUAUACAUUUUGAUUGAACUGUUUCAAGAAAAUGAAAAGUGUUAAUGAUAAAAAUAAAAAUCUAAAGCAAAAAUAUUAAACGUCGUGGUAAAUAAGUGAAGACGAUGGUUUUGUUAAAAAAGUGAUGUUGUAUUUCAUUUCAAACGUUGGUAAAUAAAAACCGUCGUUGUGUAGAAUUCUAACGUCGGUGACGAUGAAAAAUGACGUAUAACCAAAAAUUGUUUGUAAAUGAAAGUUGAACAGAAAAAAAUAAAACUUCCUUAAAUGAAAAACACAAACGACGUGGUAUUUCAAUUAAAAUGACGGUUUACAGAAAAUACUGACGUUGUAAAUGAUUUCAAACAUCGGUUUGAAGUUACCAUCGUGUUUUCAUUGUAACGUCGGUAUUAGAAAAAGCCGUAUAUCAUUCAAAUGCAAAUAAAAAAAUGUUAGAUUUUCAUAGAUAAACUUACAUAUUCACUAUAUUUCUCAUGUCCUCGUCAACAACGCGGUUUGGCAAUGAAUCCAUGUAAUAGAUAGUCUCCUUCGCUGGUCUCACAAUUAUUAACACCCAAUGACCCCUACACAUAAUGAUCCAUAUAGGUUAAAUAUACUAGAAAGAAAAAUAGGCAUCAAGUAUAGUUAAGGGGACUAACCUUGGAUUACAAGGCACCAUGUAAAAUUGAUCCCCAUUUGCGUUUUUCAGGCGGUCUGAGAGAUGUUUCAAACGGUAAGAUAACGUUCCAGAUUGAGAGCUGACUUGUCCAAGGUCCACGAAGCCAAUAAGGUUUACCAUAUUUUCUAUUUUUAAAUAGUCAAAUAGGCACCUAAAUAUAUGAAAUUCAAUUAAAUGAGAUUUUAACUUUAAAGAAAGGAAAUGUAUAAUGCAAUCACUGUGGAUCCAAUCUCAACCAUGGAAGGAAAUUGUAAAAUAUCUUCACACAAGAGGAAGGUAUCAUGGUUAAUGCCAAAGGCUUCCUCUGGAAUGUGAAUUCUAAUGGUCUCGUUAAUGGGCUUCAACUUGGUCUCGACAAAUUGAAAUAAGGCUAACAGAGGAGGUGGCAUGUCUAGCUUUGAGAGAUCCUGUUACAACAAAUAAAUAAAGAAAUAUAAGUUAGUUUGUACACUAAGUAAAAUAAACGACUCUAACUAAACCAAUCAAACCGACGUGGUAUAUAAUAUAAUCGACAGUUUCUAGAACAUACUGAAGGAGUAAAGGUUAUAGACGACGGUAAAGACAUAACCAUCGUUAUGUAAAUGUUCUAACGUCGCUGCAUUAUGGAAAGGUCGUCUAAUUAAAAUGCAGUGAAGCCUUUAUUGAAAUACACGACAGUUUAUAAAAUAAACACCGACGUAGUAAAAUACUGAGACGACGGUUAUCAGCAACGUCUAUUUGAAAUUAUAAAUCAGAAAAAAUCAAAUAUCAAAGAUUUUACCGUUUCAUCUUGCCAUUGUUUAGCAACAUCAGCAUCAUUCGUGGGAUUUUCUUCCUCCAAAACAAGGGGUCUCACAUUAGAGCAGCUUGCUUUGUCAGACAUUAGAUUUUUUGGAGUAAUUGGAGUUUUAUUGAGCAAGUUGGGAUCACAGUUGGGAAUUAGUUGACUGAAUUGUUUCAAUAAAAUUUCCCUCUCUGCUCUGACUGCCUCCAAAACAGUUUCUUUUGCCUUAGCUUUAAUCUUUUUGGUUUCUUCUCUCACUGCCUCCAUAACACUUUCCUUCAAUUUGUUAGCAAAUUUUACUCUCUGCUGUCUCGACAAAUUGAAGAAUUGAGUUGGGGAAACCCCAGCUCCAACACCUCUAACUCUCCCACCAUGCUCAGGGGUUCCCAAAGCCAAGGUCAAAAUAUCGUUGCUCUCAGAGACAGCAGAGUGCCCUCGGAAACUUGUUUUUUCAAAUCAUCCUAAAAGUGAGAGAGAGAGAGAGAGAAUGUUAGUGAGUGAACAGAUAGUAAAACAGAUUAAAUAAACAACUAUACAAAAAUAUUAACCGACGUGGUAAAGACUUUAAAAAACUGAAAUCAAUCCCCAAUAGUAACAGGGACCAUGCAGCAACGAUUUGGUUGACAGUAGUAUAGGUUGGAGAUGCUGUUGAUCAUUAGAUACUAUUUUUUUAAAUAUCAAUUCUGUAACAUCCAGACCUAAAAAAUUAAUGAUUUUGAUUUAAAAUUAAAUUUAAAUAAGCAAUUACGAAUUUACCCUUGGGGAAGGGGUAUUUUGGUAUUUUUUUUUUAUUCAGAAAGAGUUUGGGGCAGUGACUAGUAUUUUUGGGUAGAUCGUACUGAGACGAAUCCGUAGACACGCGGUAGGCCUGAAUCGGAGUUGUAACGAAGAAACGGUGACCAAAAUUAGUCCAGUGGCAAACUUGUAAAUAUUUUGAACUUGGGUGUAGAAAAAUCUGAAACUGGCUUCCUCUCUCCUGCGUGCACACGUCCUUCUCUCUCUCUCCUCUCUCUCUCCUCGAUACCAUCACUCUCUGUCUCUCUCUUCGAUUCUCUCAAUUCUGGCCACGGCAAGGGCCGGGACUGGUUCCGAUCAACUCCUCACAAAGCCCCGAACCAGAACCACCACUUUUCUUGGCCGGAAAGCUCGAGUUUCGCGUGGUAAUCUCGACUGGUUUGAACCAGUUUUCCUCCGUCAUUGUGCCGCCGCCAUCGCAGCCCAAUCUCGGUUAAACAAGUGAGGUUUCUUACUCUUUUUCCGAGCUCUAGCUGCCUGUUGGGUAGGAUUGGAUUGAUUUUUUGUCUAGGAUCCCGAUUUUGAAACCUAAGUUUUGACGAAUUUCAAAGUGAAAUUCCGGCCGGUUGCCGUCCUAAUUAGACCUCCCCGUAGUUGAAUAAAGUGAUCCUCGCUUCGAGUAGUAGCUAAGGUAGGAAUGGUGAAUUGCGGUGUGGAGUUUUUCCAUCACUGAAAAUUACUCUACACAUCCACGCGUUGCCAGGGCAUGUGGAGGCGCAUGGGCAAUGUGGUGAGACCACAUUUUAUCCUGAUGUAGUCUCCUAGUCCUCACGUGCGCGUAAGUGUGCUCGAAUUUCAAUUCGAAUGUUGUUUGACUAUCGAACGGAUUUAUGCAUAUUGUUUCUUAUCCGGGUUCAAUAUGUUCGGACCAUUGGAUCGAGUCCAAAUUUACGUAUGUUAAUCUAGGCACCCCUAGGAUCAUGUGCGAAUUCGCGGAUCGUGAAUCGGAGCCCCGAAUGUUCCGAUUCAAUAAUUUGAAGUUUAUGGUUUGCGAUAACCGUCAAUUUCUGACCAAACCUACAGGACGUGUUUCCUAAACCCGUAGUCGGACCUUAGAAUACUCGUUAUGCGUGCACGCACCGGGAACUUGAGAAAAUUAGUAUUUAAUUUGUAAAUUCCGUUUUGAAGUGAUUUUUUAUUAAUUAAGGGUGCGUAUCUCGAAAUAGGUGCUCCAUCACUAGCACGCAGCAGGUAGGACCCUCUUGAGGUCAGGCAGUGUGGGACUACUUGUGAGUGGACAUUUAUUUUAUAUAUGCAUUAUUUUCAAUGAUUGAAAGAAUAUGCAUGAAAUAUAUAUAUUUUUUGGAAUAAAGAUUGAGAAAUUCAUAUGUUGUUAUAUCAGUAUUAUUUAAUUUAGAAUUUGGUUUGAUUUGAUGAUGAGUUAUAUAAAGGUCAAGUUAUUCGUGAUUAAGUCUUGGAUGAAUUUUGGGGGAAUCGGGAAUUGAAUAUUAUGGUUUAUGGUGGGAACUUAUAUGAUUACACUGUGUGGAGUACCAUCCCCUAGUUACUAGGCUUCCCACAUGUGGCGUUGGAAAUUUUCCAGCGUGUGAUGAUGUAGUCUGCACGCAUAGGACUUAGUAUUGGAGCUACACGUGGCGUUGGAAUUUCCGGCAUGUAAGCUAUGGAGUUUCGUCCCCCGGUUGGACCGCUCAUCCCUAGACGCAGGAUAGCAACUGAAAAUCUUGCGGGUUAGCCAAACAAUCCCCCGGUUGGAUUGUUUCCCCGGUACCUAAGUAGUGUGAUAAAUAUUAUGUAUAUUUAUAGAUAUAUAUAUUUCUAUGUGUGUGUGUGUGUGUGUGUGUGUGUGUGUGUGAGUAUAAAUCAGUUAAAGUAUAUGUAGUGGUUGGGUAAGAGCAGUAUAAAUUUUGGGGAUAAAGUUUAUGGAUAGAGUGAUUGAUCUCAAAGGGUUUCGGAGAAUGAUGUUUUUGAUCAUUAAAUAAAAGUUAUGAAUCUGCAUGUCUUGAGCAUUAUUUUUAGACGGUGGGGUUAUUAUGUUGUUUUGAAUGCAAAUUUUGUUUUUCCACUCACAUGUUUUCUGUUUUGCGCCCCCCAAACAGUAGUCGCUCAAGGGAGAGUUGCAAGCCAUGUUCGAGGCCCCGAACUGUGAACAUCAGUAGAUUAGGUUUCGAGUAAUUUCUUUCUACUCAACUGGAUGUUCUUGUAAACUAAAUUCGUUAGAUGCUCUAUUAUUGCCCCUGUUAGGUUUUACUUGUGAGGCCAGAGGCCAUUUAGUUUAUACUGUUGAAUAAUAAAUGCAUGCUGCUGGUUGGGAUUAUAUUGUGCUUAUGCAGGUUGAAAUUUUUGGGAUUGUUCAAUUUACAUGGGAGACUCUAGCAAAAUUUUAGUAGAGAGUCUCGGUUUUUAAUAAGUGGGCCAGGCAUCGGGGUAAUGUCGGAAAUAAGACUGGAUUCGUCCCGGUUUCCGAAGAAUUCGAGGCGGGUCCUGUCAAGUUCCUCCUAUUAACAAUAAUAAAUUAAAUAUUUAUAUAACUGAUAACAGUUCCUCAUAUUAACAAUAAUAAAUUAGUAUUUUGUAUAAUAAACAUGUUUAAUGAAAUUCAUCUUCUUCUAGCAUGUUUAUUUAAAUUCUAAGUUUUCUGAAGAAAAAAAAAAAAAAAAAGGAGAAGGAAAUGUCCUAAAUUAAAUCUUAAAAGUUCAUUUUUUUCUGUCCCUAUAUAUUUUUUACCCAAUUAUAAUUUGAGAAAAAAAGGUGAAUUAACUGUCAUUUCACCUUCAUCAUUUUCAUGAUUUAUAUAAGAUUCUUCAAAGAUCAUUUCCACAAAAAAUUACUUAAAUUCGAAUCCAUUUAACCGUCUAAUUAAAUCGUUAGGACCGUUGAAAUAAAAUUUAAAGUGAGUUUAAAGUGAGUCCUACUAUGUCUCCCUCAAAUAAGAUCAUUUACAGGAUCUGUCGAGUCAUAUGAGAAUGUUUAGCUUUUCGAUCCCAAGAGUUUGGUUCGAUUUUCAUAUAUAUAUAUAUAUAUAUAUAUAUAUAUACAAGUCAAUUUACUUUAAAAAGUUCACCAAAUUUUAUUUUUGGUCUCGGUAGUUUGCUUGAGGGCCUUUUUCUGUCAAUCUAUUUGUUGUGAUUGAAAGAUUUUAUAUAAAACAAAAGAUAUGUUUUUAUCUUAAAAAAUGCUUAUUUUCAGAUCUUUACAUAUAGACAUACAUAUGGCCUGAGAAUUCAAGCAAUAAAGACAUAAGCUGAUGAGCAUUCAUAAUCAUUAGAAUGAGUACUGAAUGGUCAACUCUUUCAAAAUACUUCGGAAAAAAACAAAGGACAAUACUUCCUUCCUUACUCAUAAGAAGGAACUCCUUCUCACCUUCUAUUGUCCCUCAACCACAAAGUAACAAGUGUUCUCUUUUUUUAAUUGUCAAUUUUUUUUUUUUCACUUUUACUGAACCCCUAGCUUUUUACCAAAGCAAAAAACACAAAACAAUAUUCCCAUUGUUUUUUUUUUUCAUUUUGAUUUUUUUCUCAACUUUUUGAAAAAUAACAUUUUUCCUUCUUCAGUAAAAAAUUGAAGUCUUUGUGGUUAAAAGCUAAGGUUUCAGUAAAGGUUUAAAAUAAAUAAAAAGUUUUGACAAUUCAAAAAACAGAACACAUAUCACUUUGUGGUUGAGCCGCAAUAGAAAGUAAGAAAGAAUUCCACCUUACCCAUAAGGAGGGAAGUAUUGUCAAAAAGAAAACAUCUUAAAAAACACACAGAAAACCCACCAUCACUACUUAAAAGAAGUAGAGAAGUCCAACAUUCUGAUUUUUAUACACCUACGUGACGUGAGCAUUCAAUAAUCAUCCUACACAUAUGUUGAUGUGAGCAUUCAAAAUCAUUAGAAUGAUUUAAUUGAAGACUCAACGUACGGACGUCUUUUUCACUUAGAUUCCCUUCCUGUACAAACUUGAAUCAGUUCCUCCACGACCCCAUCAAUCUCUUCAUCCUCUUUCUUGUUCACGUUGUCGCUUAUUUUCAAUGCCUUUUUUCUCACUCCCUCUCCAAAUUUCUCCACAACCACAUCUCUAAUCACCUUUGCGACCUCUUCUCUUUGCAAACUUCCUUCACCUGUUCUCUUAACCUCCACACCAACACCCACCUCCUCCACUAGUCUAGCGUUGAUCGGCUGGUCAAGAUGCAUAGGCAUGGCUAUAAUUGGAACACCAAACUUGAUGCUCUCCAACACUGAGUUCCAUCCGCAGUGACUCACAAACCCCCCAACACUAGAAUGCUGCAGUAUCUUUGCCUGUGGGGCCCAACCCUCCAUUAUCACUCCCUUCUCUCCCACCCUCUGUAAAAACCCUUCUGGUAACACCUCUUCAACCCUAGUACUUCUCUCCUCCUUAGAAAAUCUUAUAACCCAAAUGAAGCUCACUUUGCUAAGCUCUAAUCCGUGAGCUAUCUCUUCUAUUUGCUCCUUGGACAGAAAGUACUCACUGCCAAAGCAAACAUACACAACAGAAGACCUUUCCAUUUUGUUCAGCCAUUUCAUGAUCCAUGUUUCCUCAUCAACUUUUUGAUCCAUUGGCUCUUGAACAAGCGUGCCAACAGGCACGAUCUUCUUCCCCGUUAAAUCAGAGAGAUAAUCAAUAUAUUUUUCUUCAAUCUCGCUGGAUGUCUUGACCAAAAUGAUGUUACAAGAUCGAGCACUGCAUUGCUGAACACGGUCUCCGUCUUUGAUGCCAUUUGCUGAAGAUUCCAACAAAUUGUUGAACUUUUCAGCUUCGUAAUGUUGAAGAUAAAUCGAAGGAAAAGGAAACUUGACACUAGGGUUCUUGAGAUGUUGAAUACUAAAUGAAGUAAAGGCAGCACCCAUGGUGGUGAAUUCAAUGGAUGGAAAAUUUUGCAAUGAAGCUAGAGAGGGCGCCCAUGGUUGAAGAACAUCAUAUAUGAGCAAAUCUGGACUUAGGGUUUUGAGGAUGUUGGAGAAGUUGUUGCUGGACAUGCUGAAAGCCGUUUUGAGAGUGGACAUGAGAUGGGGAGGGAGGCCAUUGGUGGUGUGGUAGUGCGGUGGGAGUUCAGGCAAGUCAUCAUGUGGAAGAUGGAGUUCCACAAAUUCAAUGCAAUGAGAAUAUUUUUGGGAGAGUUUAGGCUUGAUGGAGCUGAGAUUUACAGGCGUGGAACAAAUAAAGAUGUGAAAAUUUCUCUUGGUGGUCAGCUUCUUGGCUAGCUCUAGGUAGGGAGAUAUAUGGCCGUGAGCUAGCCAUGGAAGCAAAAGAAUAGUAAGGCUUCUUUGGUCAGAGAAAACCAUAUUUUGUUUUCCUUUGACUUGUUUUCCUUUGACUCUUUUGCUUGAGGUUGCUCGAUUAUAGGCUUAUUGGUAGUUUGUUUGUGGCUAGCUCUAUGCAUAUAUAUAUAUAUAUAUAUAUAUAUAUAUAUAUAUAUAUACACACACAAAAACGCGUGAUGAUUGGAACAUGCACACGUAAGUUCCAGAGAGUGAUGAUUGGCCUAUGAUAAAGACUCGAAACAAGAAUAGUUUAAAUUUUCUUCUUUGUUUGGCUUGAUAUAAGACGAAUGCACCAAACAAACCGACUAAAUGCCGACACAAUAAUUAGGUACGUAAUAAUAUCAACUUUCAUUAUAUAGAUCUGAGAAACAAAAAGUUGAACUUUGAUGACAAGCGAUAUUAAGGAAGGGCACAAUCGAACUUAGGAUCUCGAAUGUUGAAGUACAUGCUCUUAACAACUUGAGCUAUAAGGUAUUUGUAAUGACAAUUUAUGGUUUUAAUUAUACUUUUGAAUAGUUGCUUCCUUCUCUUUCAUUUUUAUUUUUAUUUGUUUAUAUUUAACUCUAAUUUUAUUUAUAUUUCUGGUCAAGGUAUAAAGACUUUGAAUCUCUCUCCAAUUAUUUUUCACAGCCGAAACUCCUUUAGUUUCCACAAAUCUUUUUAAACAUUUCAGGCAUAUGUAUGUUUCCGAGUCGGAUGGUUCACGUAACCAAGAAAUUUAAACUUGUUUUUGUUUGUUCCUCCGAAGAAAGCACAACAAAAGGACAACCUACAACCAAUACUUCUCAUUGAAUUUGUUGCCGUGAAUGAUUAGGACUCUGCCCAAACUAGUAGUUGCGUUUCUGAAUUGUUUGAAAACACAUAUCAAAUUAUGAUUUCUCCUCCCCGAAAGAAAAAUUGACGUAGAAGUAUCAUGAUCUUGAUGACACAAAUUAGAAUCUAGGGUUUUCGAAGUGCCUAAUGGACAACUACUUAUUUAGAAAUAUAUAUAUUUUUGUGGCUAAAAUUUAAAUUUAUUAUAUAUAUUCUCAAUGCAGAAACACAUAAAUCUAAGUUCGAAUUCAUCCUUUUUUUGUUUUUUUUUUUUUGUUUUUUUAACCCAGAAGAAAAAUUGAGUCCCACUCUGCUGUGUAGAAUGCGCGUUUAGUAUAGAUUUUUUUAUUUUUGAGUCUCUUAUCUGGUUCCCGAGCUUCUACAUUUAGGUCUCGUGUAUUUAUCUGCAUUUUCUUAAAUCUAAAUCACUCAAACAAUCUAACCACUUAACAAAUGACACGUACUCAAACUUAAAAUCAGAAUGGAUGGAGUAGAGGCUUACACCGAUGAUUCUUGGUCAAGACUUGAGAGACAGAUGGAGACGAGGCAUGACAUAAAGUCUGAAGAAGAGAAACGAGGAAGCUUCAUUUAGAUGGUGGUGUAAGUGCAUACGUAAAGUCCAGAUUCAACAGGAAAGCAUCUUAAACGUAAAGAAAAUAAGUUUACCAGAAGCAAAAGAGAUACUGAAGUAAUUGUUUAUCAACUGAACUUAAACGAAAUAUUAACUCUUUGUUGUGCCAUAAGCACAAGAUCUUAUGAAAAAAAAUUCAAGAUAAACCAUAUAAUAUUGGGAGAUUCACGUUUAUACCGAAUAUAGGAAUUCAAAUUAUAAAAUAAAUAAAUAAAUAAAAUAAUCGAUAUGAAAUGGACUUUAGAAACACACACAAAGCCUAUUUACAACAUAACAAAAAGGUUUUUCCCUUCUUUUAAAUUACAAAACUGCCAUUGAUUUCUUAAAACAAACCCAACUCCAAAACCUCAUUAAAAAAGCACAAAACACUCAAUAGGGUGUCAAAGUAAUUUAAUAAUAAAAAAUAAAUUCAAUAAGGCCAAUUGAAUUUUUUGGAUUUUUUUUUGGGUUUGUUUAUAGAAAUUAAUGGUGUAGGGUUUAUCUAUAUUAUUGGUGUUAAGAAUGAAUAAUGACUAAAUAUCUCUAUAAUAUUUUCUAACUCACAAAAUAAUAUAGAAAAUAAAUGCAAGAACAAGAAAAUAGCAAUAUGCAAUUUAACGAAGCUGCUUACAAUCAGUGCAAAUGAGCAAACAAAUUCGCUAUUAAUUUAUGAAGUGUUUUUGUAUUUACAAUACCGCCUCUUGAAUGUCCACCAUACAAUAAUAUAGUUGCAUCAUUAAAAACUUUACUUGAAAAAUCGUUUGGGACAAAACUUAAGCUAAGAGAAAAAGAGUGCAACACAAAUGAUAUUGACAUCACAUAUGUCUCUCCUACAGAGUGAGCUUUGGUGAUGCUUGUAUAAAAAUUGCUUUCACAUCAUUAUUGGGAGAUGUAUGUAUGUCAUCAAUCAUUUGAAUCUUGUUGAGGUUAAAGUAAAACCAAAAAAAUAUCAAGGGCCAUUUUCAUAUAGUUUUUCACAAUAAAAAUUAACAAAAUAACUUCAUGUUCUUUAAUAUCAUCAAAAAAAUAAUAUAAACAAACUCAUAGUUUACCUUUUCAAUGAUAAGUGUUUGGAAAAUUUACAUGGAAUAAUAUUUGGUAUGCUAUGCUAGCAUCUCAUAAGCUCUUCAAGAGACCUAAAUUUUAUGAUAACUUCUUAAAAAAAUUUGAAUACUUUUCAACAAUAUUAAACUUGAAUUCAAACUCAUAAUUCAAUCAAAGUACUCAUUGAGGCAAUUUAGAUCAUUUUCAUUUUAAGAAAAUUGGGUGCAUACAUUGAGCUUCAUGCCCUUUACCUUCUUAGAGAUUUUCUUCGAGCAAUUUAUAUUGCAUGACAGAUUAUAUCUCUUAGAAUUUGUUCUUAUGUAUUCUUCAAGAGAUCUCUUCUUGCAAUAUGCUUCAAACACUUCAUAAUCUUUAUAGAUUUUUCAUGUAGAUUUAAGGUCUCCAUGAAUAUUGAGAUUGAAACAAGGAGUAAAAUAAAAGUUUAAGAAAAAUUUUCCCUGAUUAUUUUGUAAUUAUAAUGUUGGUGAAAACCUAAUUUCCUUUCUGAAAUUUGUGAAAUUUGUUAUUUGGCUAAGCUAAAAGUAUAAUAUUGACAAUAAAACGUAUACGAAAGUUUCUCUUUGGCUGGCUUCUUGGCUGGCUCUAGGAAGGGACAUUGCGGCCAUGAGAUAACCAUAGGAAGCAUAAUAAGAAUGCUUGGAUGCUCUGAACAAUCCAUUUUCUGACUCUUUUUCUUGAGGCGGUUGUUUUCUUAGGCCCAUCAGAGUUUAUGGUCGACAGAUAAGCUUCAAACACAUGCAUUGGUCGUGUCAGUUGCGAUAAACUCUUCCCAACAAUCUGAGACUCACAUCACUCCAAACACAUAAAAAGAAGUGGAAAUUUGCUAUUCUUUGUCUUUGUUUGGACAGCUAAUAGCAAAGCAUUGGAAACAUCGAAAAAAGAAAGUUAAUUAAUUUAAGAAAAACAAAGAAAUCCUUCUUUUUUUUUCUUUUUUUUUUCAGCAAACCGAAACAUAAAAUCCGAAAAAGAAGAAGGCAUGUCCAAAAUUACAUCUUGAAUUUAUUUUGGAGAUUCACUAUUAUACUCAAAUUAUAUAUGAAAUAAAUUUUAGAAACACACAUGACGCCAAUUUACAAUAUAACAAAAAAACUUUUAACUUCUUGUAAAUUACAAAAUUGUUAUCGAUUUCUUAAAACAAGCCUAAUCCUAAAACCUCAUAAAAAAAAAAUCAAAACACUCAAUAAGGCAUCAAAGUAAUUUAAUAAUUAAAAUUAAAUUUAAUAGGGUCAUCUGUCAUUUUUUGGAUUUUUUUCGAAGUUGUUUAUAAAAAUUAAAAUAAUGUAUAGUUUGUUUAUAAAAAUUAAAUGAUGUAGAGUUUCUUUAUAUAAUUAAUGUUAAUAAUGAGUAUAUGAAUAAAUGUCACUUUUCUUUAUUAACCAUUUAUAAUAUAUGAACUCAAGACUUCCUAUCGAACACCGAAUGGUCUUUCCAUUCCUUGUUAAUUCAAAGUCUGAAAAUGUUCGGUGUCAGCUCAUGAAUUUAAAGGCUUAAAGGCUCAAAACUUGAACGAAUAUGAAAGAAAAAAGUCGUUCACCGUUCAUCCUCUUCCUGCAGCUGUGCAUGCUAAUCACCCACUGAAUUAAACAUACAAAUACGCUUUAUGUUUUCUCAAAUUGUUCUUUGAACUAAGUAGAGGUUGGAAUACACUCGGGGUCAACAUUGUUCAAAUACAAAACACUUCUUAAUUUUAUAUUUUAUCAAAACAGAUCGAAACUUCAUUCAAACUGAGAACCUAGAUUACAAAACUACCAGAAAAACUGGAAUCUGCACUGUGGCCUCAUUAAAACCUUGCUUUAAAAAACUCCUAAAAGAGGAGAAUUCAGUCAAGAAAAAAGAGUACCACAGCAAGUGAAAUCCGAUAUCAUACUUCAUUCCUUUCUCAUACAAAGUUGAAUCAACUGCUCUACCACCCCAUCUAUCUCUUCAUCCUCUCUCUUUUUCAUGUUGUCUCUCAAUUCCAUUGCCUUUCUUUUCAAACCCUGUCCAUUUUCUUCCACCACCACAUCUCUGAUUACUUUUGCUAUCUCGUCCCUUUUCAGCCUCCCGUUCUCGUUGCCGCCUCCUCCCAUUCUCUUAACCUCCACACCAACUCCAACGUCCUCUACUAUUCUAGCGUUAAUAGGCUGGUCAAGAUGCAUAGGCAUGGCUACAAUUGGAACGCCAAACUUGAUGCUCUCCAACACUGAGCUCCAUCCACAGUGGCUCACAAACCCACCAGCACUAGAAUGCUUCAAUACUUUUGCCUGUGGAGCCCAACCAUCCACUAUUAUUCCCUUCUCCCCCACCCUCUCAAAAAACCCUUCUGGUAAUACCUCUUCAACCCUAGUACCUUUCUCUUCCUUAGGAAAUCUUAUAACCCAAAUAAAACUCACUUUGCUAAUCUCUAGCCCAUGAGCUAUCUCUUCUAUUUCCUCCUUGGAUAAAAAGUACUCACUGCCGAAGGAAACAUACACCACCGAAGAUCUUUCUCUAGUGUUUAGCCACUUCAUGAUUUUUGUUUCCUCCGAAUCCACUUCUUGCUCUAUAAGGUCUUGAACAAGUGAACCAACAGGCACAAUCUUCUUCCCAAUUAGAUCAGAGAGAUAAUCAAUAUAUUUUGCUUCAAUCUCUCUAGAACUCUUAACUAAUACGAUCUUACAAGAACGAUCGCUGCACUGCUUAGCACGGUCUCCAUCACUGAUGCCAUUUGAUGAAGAUUCUAACAACAUCUUGAUCUUACUAGUCUCGUAAUAGAUUGAAGGAAACGGAAAUUUGACACCAGGUUUCUCGCCAUGGUGGGUACAAACUGACAUCAUGGCAGCACUGGUUGUGAAGAACUCGAUGGCUGGAAUGUUUUGUAACAAAGCUAGAGAGGGUGCCCAUGGUUGAAGAAAAUCAUAAAUUAGCAAAUCCGGGUGUAGGGUUUUGAGGAUGUUGGAGAAGUUAGGGCUUGCCCUGUCGAAGGCGGUUUUGAGAGUGGACAUGAGGUGGGGUGGGAGGCCAUUGGUAGUGUGGUAAUGAGGUGGGAGUUCAGGCAAGUCGUCAUAUGGAAGAUGUAGUUGCACGAGUUCAAUGCAACGAGAGUAUUUUUCAGAGAGUUGUGGCUUGAUGGAUCUGAGAUUUACAGGUGUGGAACAAAAAUAGAUGUGAAAAUUUCUGUUGGUCAGCUUCUUUGCUAGCUCUAGGUAGGGAGAUAUGU